CCUGUGCUGACCAUUCUUCACUUUUUAUGAGGUCAUUAUUUUAAAAAUAUAUGAUCAUAAAAGAUUUGUUUCAAGCAGUUCUGUUCCUUGAAUAUUAAAGUGUUUAGUUUUGGGGUUUGUUCUCUGAUACUCAUGCCAUGGAAGGUGUCAUGGCUGAGAAGGUUUCUUUAGAGGUGAUCUUCAAGGAUUGGUGUGUGUGUGAGGUAGUGGUGGUGGGGUU
rnacentral:lncRNA from 1 species